rnacentral:rRNA from 1 species
UACGAAGGGGGCUAGCGUUGUUCGGAAUUACUGGGCGUAAAGCGCGCGUAGGCGGUGAUCUUUGUCAGAGGUGAAAGCCCGGGGCUCAACUCCGGAAUUGCCUUUGAAACGGGAUCGCUUGAGUCCGAGAGAGGAUGGCGGAAUUCCUAGUGUAGAGGUGAAAUUCGUAGAUAUUCGCAAGAACACCAGUGGCGAAGGCGGCUCACUGGCCCGGUACUGACGCUGAGGUGCGAAAGCGUGGGGAGCAAACAGG